CAAUAGCGUAUAUUUAAGUUGUUGCAGUUAAAAAGCUCGUAGUCGGAUUUUGGCUGAGAACGAUCGGUCCGCCGUUAGGUGUGCACUGAUUGGUCUCAGCUUCCUGGUGAGGAGGUGUGCUUCACGGCCACUUAGUCACCGUGGUUACUUUGAAAAAAUUAGAGUGUUCAAAGCGGGCUUACGCUUGAAUAUAUUAGCAUGGAAUAACACCAUAGGACUCCUGUCCUAUUUCGUUGGUCACGGGACGGGAGUAAUGAUUAAGAGGAACAGUUGGGGGCAUUCGUAUUUCAUUGUCAGAGGUGAAAUUCUUGGAUUUAUGAAAGACGAAUUUCUGCGAAAGCAUUUGCCAAGGAUGUUUUCAUUGA
rnacentral:rRNA from 1 species